rnacentral:rRNA from 1 species
GAUGAACGCUAGCUACAGGCUUAACACAUGCAAGUCGAGCGAGCGGCGGACGGGUGAGUAAUGUCUGGGAAACUGCCUGAUGGAGGGGGAUAACUACUGGAAACGGUAGCUAAUACCGCAUACCAUCAGAUGUGCCCAGAUGGGAUUAGCUGGUAGGUGGGGUAACGGCUCACCUAGGCGACGAUGCCUCGCUGGUCUGAGAGGAUGACCAGCCACACUGGAACUGAGACACGGUCCAGACUCCUACGGGAGGCAACAGUGGGGAAUAUUGCACAAUGGGCGCGAGCCUGAUGCAGCCAUGGCGCGUGUGUGAAGAAGGCCUUCGGGUUGUAAAGCACUUUCAGCGGGGAGGCGGAAAGCGAAGAAGAAGCACCGGCUAACUCCGUGCCAGCAGCCGCGGUAAGUG